AGAUGGCUGAGAAUAAGCAAUAAUUUUUUAAAUUAUGUACAGAAUUAAUUCUUCUAAUAAAUAC
rnacentral:tRNA from 1 species